GGCUAACGCUGGCGGCGUGUCUUAGCCAUGCAAGUCGAGCGGACUUAUGGGGUAACUUAUAAGUCAGCGGCGGACGGCGGAGUAACACGUAGCUAACCUACCCUCUGGACGGGGAUAACCUACCGAAAGGUGGGCUAAUACCCGAUGUAGUCAUCCUGUAUAGGGGUGAUGAAAGGUGGGCUUCUGUUUACAAGCUCAUGCUGGAGGAGGGGGCUGCGGCCUAUCAGGUAGUUGGUAGGGUAAUAGCCUACCAAGCCGAUGACGGGUAGCCGGCCUGAGAGGGUGACCGGCCCGAGGGGCACUGAGAUACGGGUCCCACUCCUACGGGAGGCAGCAGGCUAGAAAUUUGGGCAAUGGGGGAAACCCUGACCCAGUGACGCCGCGUGCAGGAAGGAGCCCUUCGGGGGUGUAAACUGCUGUCGUGUAGGGAGAAGGGUACUAAGGUGAACAAUCUUAGUACUUGACGGUACUACAGGAGGAAGCCCAGGCUAACCUCGUGCCCAGCAGCCGCGGUAAGAUAGCGUACU
rnacentral:rRNA from 1 species